GGCGGGUUAGUUGAGUUGGUUAGAGCAUGGUGCUAAUAACGCCAAGGUCGAGGUUUUGAUUCCCGUAUGGGCCA
rnacentral:tRNA from 1 species